UACGUAGGUGGCAAGCGUUGUCCGGAUUUACUGGGCGUAAAGAGCGCGCAGGCGGUCGUUCAAGUCGCGUGUGAAAGCCCCCGGCUCAACUGGGGAGGGUCACGCGAUACUGAUCGACUCGAAGGCAGGAGAGGGUAGUGGAAUUCCCGGUGUAGUGGUGAAAUGCGUAGAUAUCGGGAGGAACACCAGUGGCGAAGGCGGCUCACUGGCUCGGUACUGACGCUGAGGCGCGAAAGCGUGGGGAGCAAACAGG
rnacentral:rRNA from 1 species